GGGGGAGUGGCGGAACGGGCAGACGCACGGGACUUAAAAUCCCGGGCCGUUAGGCGUGAGGGUUCGAGUCCCUCCUUCCCCACCA
rnacentral:tRNA from 1 species